CCACCUCAUUGGCUGAUCCCAAAGACAGUGGGCGUUACCCAAAGAUAGUUCAGCCAAUGGUGUGAGCUAAUCUUUACCAUAGGCGUUUUUUAGCUCCCAACUCACCCUGGCACUCGAUCCAAGCUAGUAAACAAGUUGAAGCUAAAGCAGAAAACCAUGGCGUCGUCCCUGACGACAGGAGCAGCACCAGUAGCCGCCGCCGAGUGCACGGUGCCCGCUUCCAUCUUCGCCCCGGAUCGGGGCUUCUCCGCCGCCGCCGCAGACGUCCAUGCAUGCGGGGGAGAGAGUUUCGAAGAUCCCGAGGGCACCGACCAUGUUUUGGAUUUGAGCAACAAGAUGGUCUUGGUGAGUCCGACAGGGGAGCAGUACGACGCGCUGCGGCGACACCUACGAGCGCGGCUCGACGAAGGCUGCGGCGAGACCAUUUUUGUCGUGGGGAUGGGCUCGGACGGCGGCGACUACGGUCUGAGCGACCGCGACACAGAGGCGUCGGUAGCCACCGUGCAAUCGCUGUGCGAGCAAGUGGAGGCCGACCUCAUCCUGCUGAGGGAGCGCACGGAGGUGGGCGGCAAGAUCUGCGACUUCCUCAUCCGCCGCCGCGUGGGCGAGCAGGACUUCCUGGAAGUCAGAGUGGCGGUGGUGGGCAACGUGGACGCCGGCAAGAGCACGCUGCUGGGCGUGCUGACCCACGGCGAGCUGGACAACGGUCGAGGCUUCGCGCGCCAGAAGCUCUUUCGGCACAAGCACGAGAUGGAGAGCGGCAGGACCAGCAGCGUGGGCAACGACAUCCUGGGCUUCGACCACGAGGGACAGGUGGUCAACAAGCCCGACAGCCACGGCGGCAGCCUGGACUGGACCGAGAUCUGCGAAAAGUCCUCCAAAGUGGUCACCUUCAUCGACCUGGCGGGCCACGAGAAGUACCUGAAGACCACCGUCUUCGGCAUGACCGGACACCUGCCCGACUUCUGCAUGCUCAUGGUGGGCAGCAACGCCGGCAUCGUGGGCAUGACCAAGGAGCACCUGGGUCUGGCGCUAGCGUUAAACGUGCCCGUGUUUGCCGUGGUCACCAAGAUCGACAUGUGUCCGGCCAACAUACUGCAAGAAACCCUGAAAUUACUCCAGCGGCUAUUAAAAUCUCCCGGCUGCAGAAAGAUUCCCGUGUUGGUGCAGAACAAGGACGACGUCAUCGUCACGGCGUCCAACUUCAGCUCGGAGAGGAUGUGUCCCAUCUUCCAGAUCUCCAACGUGACGGGCCAGAACAUCGACCUCCUGAAGAUGUUCCUCAACCUGCUCUCGCCCAGGACCGCCUUUAACGACGACGAGCCCGCCGAGUUCCAAAUCGAUGACACGUAUUCCGUACCGGGCGUGGGCACGGUGGUGUCGGGCACGACGUUACGCGGCGUGAUCCGACUCAACGACACGCUUCUCCUGGGUCCCGACCCGCUGGGCGUUUUCCUCCCUAUCGCCGUCAAGUCCAUCCACCGCAAGAGAAUGCCUGUCAAGGAGGUGCGCGGCGGGCAGACGGCCUCCUUUGCGCUCAAGAAGAUCAAGCGCUCGUCCAUACGCAAGGGCAUGGUGAUGGUGUCCCCCAAACUGAUGCCGCAGGCCACUUGGGAAUUUGAGGCGGAGAUCCUGGUGCUGCACCACCCCACCACCAUAUCCCCGCGCUACCAGGCCAUGGUCCACUGCGGCAGCAUCCGUCAGACCGCCACCAUCUUAAGCAUGAGCAAGGACUGCCUGCGGACCGGCGACAAGGCGGCCGUCCACUUCCGCUUCAUCAAGACGCCCGAGUACCUGCACUGCGAGCACAAGCUGGUGUUCCGGGAGGGCCGCACCAAAGCCGUGGGCACCAUCACCAAGCUCCUGCAGUCGGUCAACACGCAGGCGGCUAAGGCGCAGCAGGCCAAGAUGCUGGCCGGCAAGAAAAUGCACAAGGACGGCACGGAGGAAACGCGGCCACCCAGUCCUGGCGCCGCGCUUCCGCUCAAAUCAGGAGGCGGAGGACGACGGCGGGGUGGCCAGCGGCACCGAGAGAAAGGAGGCGACAACGUGCUGGCGACGACAGCGCCCGUGUGCGCCGCCGCCAUGACGGCGCCGGCGGCCCUCGUUUAGACGCAGAUACGCAGCAGCAUCACUCGUCCAACACAGCCAAAGUCAACGCAAGAAAUCACCAGCAAAGUACUUCUUCUGCCAAAAUACGCAUCAAACGUAGUUGUACUACGUUCAUUUUGUCUUCACUUGUCGAUUCUUUUAUCACAGACAAAUGAUUGAGGUUGAAUUCCCUGACAUGUUUCGGCGUGUACUUCAUCCAUCGGCCGAUCAAGACGCAUCACAACUACUACACCAGCGACACCGAUGGAGGUACACAUGUCAGGUCCAUUAAGGCUGACGCUGGACGACAGGGAACCGUUUGACCCGGAGCGAGGAGUUCUUCGGCGAGGCGCCGGCCGUCUGAGGGUGGGGAGGGGGCGAAAGGGCCCGGCGGGUCCAACGCUAAUUGGUUAGCUUGGAGCGGCGCGACACGGCUCCCUGCUAGCAGACAGCUGGUGGGUGGACGCUGAAGACCAAUUAGAGAAACACAGAGUAACCAUCGGAGAAGCCAGAGAAGGCGUUUGUGCCUCGACGCGAGUGUGACAGGUUGCUUGAAAACGCCAGACGAGACGAAAACAAGACGACAGAUCAACGGUUAUCUGACAAAGCCAUGUGGAAUGGAUGGACUUUUGUGAAAGCCGGCAAAGCUGUCAUGACGAAUCGCAAGCCUUCUUACGGCAAAGAGAGCAGCGUCACCGUGGCAACAGCCUCAGCAUCCUCACGGCAAAAAAGACAAAAGGUGGCAUAAUUGGAACGAUUGUUCCCGUGCAGUUUUGAAGGCUUCUAUUCUUUCGCCUACCGUCGCCCUCAUAAGGCGUUUUGUGGACUCGCUAAUUAAAGCUUCAAACAAACGACAAAUGGGACAAAAGCAGACAAA